rnacentral:misc_RNA from 1 species
AAAAAGAUGAGAAAUAGCAAGAAAUUUGAAGAACUUAGAGGGAGAGAAGCAAAGUCUUAUCAACGGAGAGAAAAUUGGAGGUCGCACUCGCAGAUGUGGGAGAUUCUUUUGGUUUUCUUUAUUUAUCCCGAGAUUUUGGAACUUUUAAUUUCAGGGUUUUGAUUUGUUUCCUUCUGUGUCUGAGUCUCCUUCCUUCGGCGAUAAAUGGCACAAGUGCAGCCCAACCAAUAAGGACUCUUGGUUACGAGACGAAGAAGCAAGGCCGCGACGUCGUUUGCGUGUAGCAUGAGCGGAGGACGAAAAAACAAAGAAAAACAACAGAGUUAGGAAGCCACACUGACA